UGGGGAAUUUUGGACAAUGGGCGCAAGCCUGAUCCAGCAAUGCCGCGUGCAGGAUGAAGGCCUUCGGGUUGUAAACUGCUUUUGUACGGAGCGAAAAGGUCUGCCCUAAUACGGUGGGCUCAUGACGGUACCGUAAGAAUAAGCACCGGCUAACUACGUGCCAGCAGCCGCGGUAAUACGUAGGGUGCGAGCGUUAAUCGGAAUUACUGGGCGUAAAGCGUGCGCAGGCGGUUAUAUAAGACAGAGGUGAAAUCCCCGGGCUCAACCUGGGAACUGCCUUUGUGACUGCAUAGCUAGAGUACGGUAGAGGGGGAUGGAAUUCCGCGUGUAGCAGAGAAGUGCGUAGAUAUGCGGAGGAACACCGAUGGCGAAGGCAAUCCCCUGGACCUGUACUGAUGCUCAUGCACGAAAGCGUGGGGAGCAAACA
rnacentral:rRNA from 1 species